GUGGGGAAUAUUGGACAAUGGGCGAAGGCCUGAUCCAGCCAUGCCGCGUGUGUGAAGAAGGUCUUCGGAUUGUAAAGCACUUUAAGUUGGGAGGAAGGGCAGUAAGUUAAUACCUUGCUGUUUUGACGUUACCGACAGAAUAAGCACCGGCUAACUUCGUGCCAGCAGCCGCGGUAAUACGAAGGGUGCAAGCGUUAAUCGGAAUUACUGGGCGUAAAGCGCGCGUAGGUGGUUUUGUAAGUUGGAGGUGAAAUCCCCGGGCUCAACCUGGGAACUGCCUCCAAAACUGCAUGACUAGAGUACGGUAGAGGGUAGUGGAAUUUCCUGUGUAGCGGUGAAAUGCGUAGAUAUAGGAAGGAACACCAGUGGCGAAGGCGACUACCUGGACUGAUACUGACACUGAGGUGCGAAAGCGUGGGGAGCAAACAGGAUUAGAAACCCGUGUAGUCC
rnacentral:rRNA from 1 species